GGGCGCAGCAGGCGCGAAACCUCCGCAAUGCGAGAAAUCGCGACGGGGGGACCCCAAGUGCCACUCUUAACGGGGUGGCUUUUCUUAAGUGUAAAAAGCUUUUGGAAUAAGGGCUGGGCAAGACCGGUGCCAGCCGCCGCGGUAACACCGGCAGCUCUAGUGGUAGCCAUUUUUAUUGGGCCUAAAGCGUUCGUAGCCGGUUUGAUAAGUCUCUGGUGAAAUCCUGUAGCUUAACUGUGGGAAUUGCUGGAGAUACUAUUAGACUUGAGGUCGGGAGAGGUUAGCGGUACUCCCAGGGUAGGGGUGAAAUCCUGUAAUCCUGGGAGGACCACCUGUGGCGAAGGCGGCUAACUGGAACGAACCUGACGGUGAGGGACGAAAGCCAGGGGCGCGAACCGGAUUAGAUACCCGGGUAGUCCUGGCCGUAAACGAUGUGGACUUGGUGUUGGGAUGGCUUCGAGCUGUUUCAGUGCCGAAGGGAAGCUGUUAAGUCCACCGCCUGGGAAGUACGGUCGCAAGACUGAAACUUAA
rnacentral:rRNA from 1 species